AGUGUAAUUCGUAGUUUGAUAUGUUUUAGAUUUGUCACCUUAGAGUUGUCAGAGUUAUUAUUUGAGUAACUCUGAUAUGUUUUAGAGUUGUGUUGAUAUGUCUCGGUUUUAAGGGUUUUUACCCUAUUGGUGGUCUAACACAAGUAAUAAUAAUAAGUUACUCUAUUGAUGAGUUUUUGAGAUAUUUUCCAGUGGCGAUUCCUGAUUUUGGGCGUUUUCAACUUUUUCGAUGUUU
rnacentral:lncRNA from 1 species